AGUGAACGCUGGCGGUAGGCCUAACACAUGCAAGUCGAACGGCAGCACAGUAAGAGCUUGCUCUUACGGGUGGCGAGUGGCGGACGGGUGAGGAAUACAGCGGAAUCUACUUUUUCGUGGGGGAUAACGUAGGGAAACUGACGCUAAUACCGCAUACGACCUACGGGUGAAAGCAGGGGAUCUUCGGACCUUGCGCGAUUGAAUGAGCCGAUGUCGGAUUAGCUAGUUGGCGGGGUAAAGGCCUACCAAGGCGACGAUCCGUAGCUGGUCUGAGAGGAUGAUCAGCCACACUGGAACUGAGACACGGUCCAGACUCCUACGGGAGGCAGCAGUGGGGAAUAUUGGACAAUGGGCGCAAGCCUGAUCCAGCCAUACCGCGUGGGUGAAGAAGGCCUUCGGGUUGUAAAGCCCUUUUGUUGGGAAAGAAAAGCAGCAGGUUAAUACCCCGCUGUUCUGACGGUACCCAAAGAAUAAGCACCGGCUAACUUCGUG
rnacentral:rRNA from 1 species